rnacentral:rRNA from 1 species
CUACGGAGGGUGCAAGCGUUAUUCGGAAUCACUGGGCGUAAAGGGUGCGUAGGCGGUUUGGUAAGUCUGAUGUGAAAUCCUAUGGCUCAACCAUAGAACUGCAUUGGAAACUGCUAAACUAGAAUACUGAAGGGGCAGAUGGAAUUAGUGGUGUAGGGGUAAAACCCGUAGAUAUCACUAGGAAUACCGAAAGCGAAAGCGAUCUGCUGGGAAGUUAUUGACGCUGAGGCACGAAAGCGUGGGGAGCAAACGGGAUUAGAAACCCUAGUAGUCC